rnacentral:rRNA from 1 species
AAACAACGGUUGUCGGAUUACUGGGCGUAAGCGCAUGCAAGGCGGAUCGCUAAGUCGGGGGUGAAAGCCCCCAGGCUCAACCUCGGAAUUGCCUUCGAUACUGGCGAUCUCGAGUCCGGGAGAGGUGAGUGGA